rnacentral:rRNA from 1 species
AUUGAACGCUGGCGGCAGGCCUAACACAUGCAAGUCGAACGAGUGGCGGACGGGUGAGUAAUGCCUGGGAAACUGCCUUAUGGAGGGGGAUAACUACUGGAAACUGUAGCUAAUACCGCAUACCAUCGGAUGUGCCCAGAGGGGCUUAGCUAGUUGGUGGGGUAAUGGCUCACCAAGGCGACGAUCCCUAGCUGGUCUGAGAGGAUGACCAGCCACACGGGAACUGAGACACGGCCCAGACUCCGACGGGAGGCAGCAGUGGGGAAUAUUGCGCAAGGGGCGCAAGCCUGAUGCAGCCAUGCCGCGUGUAUGAAGAAGGCCUUCGGGUUGUAAAGUUCUUUCAGUGAGGAGGCGUUACUCGCAGAAGAAGCACCGGCUAACUCCGUGCCAGCCGCCGCGGUAAUUC